UACGUAGGGUGCGAGCGUUGUUCGGAAUUAUUGGGCGUAAAGAGCUCGUAGGCGGUGUGUCGCGUCGGUCGUGAAAACUUGGGGCUUAACUCUGAGCUUGCGGUCGAUACGGGCAUCACUGGAGUUCGGCAGGGGAGACUGGAAUUCCUGGUGUAGCGGUGAAAUGCGCAGAUAUCAGGAGGAACACCGGUGGCGAAGGCGGGUCUCUGGGCCGAUACUGACGCUGAGGAGCGAAAGCGUGGGGAGCGAACAGG
rnacentral:rRNA from 1 species